rnacentral:rRNA from 1 species
CAGUCGCCGCGGUAAUACGAAGAGGGCUAGCGUUGUUCGGAAUUACUGGGCGUAAAGCGCACGUAGGCGGACUUUUAAGUCAGGGGUGAAAUCCCGGGGCUCAACCUCGGAACUGCCUUUGAUACUGUAAGUCUUGAGUGUGGAAGAGGUAAGUGGAAUUGCGAGUGUAGAGGUGAAAUUCGUAGAUAUUCGCAGGAACACCAGUGGCGAAGGCGGCUUACUGGUCCACAACUGACGCUGAGGUGCGAAAGCGUGGGGAGCAAACAGGAUUAGAUACCCCCGUAGUCCCUGUCUCUUAUAC